UACGUAGGGUGCGAGCGUUGUCCGGAAUUAUUGGGCGUAAAGAGCUCGUAGGCGGUGUGUCACGUCGGCCGUGAAAACCUGCAGCUUAACUGUGGGCGUGCGGUCGAUACGGGCAUCACUGGAGUUCGGCAGGGGAGACUGGAAUUCCUGGUGCAGCGGUGAAAUGCGCAGAUAUCAGGAGGAACACCGGUGGCGAAGGCGGGUCUCUGGGCAACAACUGACGCUGAGGAGCGAAAGCGUGGGGAGCGAACAGG
rnacentral:rRNA from 1 species